GUGAAUAGCUGGAAGCGGUGGGGAGAAGCGAGCGGCAGCCGGCAGGGAGAGGUGGAGAGCCACGACGGGGUGGACAGCGGGAAGCGGUGGGGAGAAGCGAGCGGCAGUCGAUAGGGAGAGCCACGACGAUGGCCGGCGUCAGCUACCACUUCCUCCCCUCGUCGGCGCCGCGAGGCCGCUGAGCCCACGCCCGAGCUUCCCGUCCGUGAACGAUCGCUCCGCCCACCGGCCGUCCCCCGUCCGUGUGCUUCUUCUCGGGACGUCGACGCCACGGAGCUCGUCAAGAUCACCACAUGCAGACUAUUCAUUCCUUGCCAAACUGCACAUGCUAGCUACUGUUUGAAGAUGGCGUUGUAAAAAAUGCAUAAGCUGGGGAUGGCAUGGUGAUGCUGCUGGUCGAGAAGUACCAUCCCAGAAUAAAUUUAGCAUCAACACGGUGAUUUGAGAAUGCAAACAAGCACAAUAGGAUCUUCCAUGUCAAUUGGUAUAUUUAUCUCUCUCCUUUUAGAUUCCCUGCUAAAUGAAAUUUCCAAUGACGCUUGAUUAUGGUACAUGCUAAAGAAUUAGUGGUGGCAUUUGGUUAUUUUGUACAGUACUUAUGAACACUAAAAGAAUUAGCUUAUUCAAUUUCUUCCAUUGUUGUGCCCGCCACUGAUGUUCUCUAUGGUUCCCUUGG